CAAGCGGUGGAGUUAUGUGGAUUAAUUCGAUGCAACGACGAAAACCUUAACCUACCCUUCGACAUGUCCUGAAGCCUGGUGAGAGCCGGGUGUGCCCGAAAGGAACGGGAACACAGGUGCUGCAUGGCUGUCGUCAGCUCGUGUCGUGAGAUGUUGGGUUAAGUCCCGCAACGAGCGCAACCCUUGUCAUUAGUUGCUACAUUUAGUUGGGCACUCUAAUGAGACUGCCGGUGACAAACCGGAGGAAGGUGGGGAUGACGUCAAGUCCUCAUGGCCCUUAUGGGUAGGGCUUCACACGUAAUACAAUGGCGCGUACAGAGGGUUGCCAAGCCGCGAGGUGGAGCCAAUCCCAGAAAGCGCGUCGUAGUCCGGAUCGCAGUCUGCAACUCGACUGCGUGAAGUCGGAAUCGCUAGUAAUCGCGGAUCAGCAUGUCGCGGUGAAUACGUUCCCGGGUCUU
rnacentral:rRNA from 1 species